AAUUUUAAGUGCAAUAUUGUGAACACUUACACUUUUGAUAAAGGCAUUAAAACUACAUUUUUUUUUUGCAAACAAGGGUUUCCUUAUUAUUGUAUUUUUUAUGCAAUUUGUUAUUUAACAAAGCCUCUUCUCUUCAAAUGAUUAAUUAAGUAUUCCUUUUACGAACAUUGACUUGAUUUAUAGCACCGCUAUGCAGAUGGAAAAACAAUGUUUAUAAUUAAAUUAAUUUCUGACGUUAAGUGCUAUAAUGAAACGAAUAUAACUGUGUUUUCUUAUCAAACAAAUUUACGCCUGUAAUAAAAAAAAGCAACCUCUCCU
rnacentral:misc_RNA from 1 species